rnacentral:lncRNA from 1 species
AGGCUAUGGUGCUGUUUACGAAGGAAAGUUAAAGGACGGCUGUCUUGUAGCAGUGAAGGUCUUGACCAAACUAACAGGAGAUGGAGAAGAAUUUAUGAAUGAAGUGGCAGCCAUUAGUAGAACUUCCCAUGUCAACGUCGUCACCUUGUUAGGCUUUUGUUUUGAGGGUUCCAAAAGAGCUCUCAUCUAUGAAUUCAUGCCUAAUGGAUCCCUAGAGAAAUUCAUAUUUGAUUCAAAUACUCCCAAUAUAGGUCAUGAUCACUUGGGAUGGGAAGCAUUGGAUCAAAUUUCACUUGGCGUUGCUCGAGGUUUGGAGUAUUUACAUCGUGGUUGCAACACAAGAAUUUUGCAUUUCGACAUCAAGCCUCACAACAUUCUUCUCGAUGAAAACUUCACGCCAAAAAUCUCGGAUUUUGGCCUUGCCAAAAUAUGCAACAAGAAAGAGAGUAUUGUCUCGAUGUUGGGCGCUAGAGGUACAGCAGGUUACAUUGCUCCAGAAGUAUUUUCUAGAACUUUGGAAAGGUCUCACACAAGUCGGAUGUGUACAGCUAUGGAAUGAUGCUUUCGAAUAUGGUUGGGGGAAGUAGGAACACAGACGAUGAAGCUGAAAAUACAAGUGAAAUAUAUUUUCCACAUUGGAUUUACCAACGUCUUGAAUUGGACGAAGAGCUUGGUAUGCAGAGUAUUACGAACGAGGAAGAUGAAGCAAGAGCAAGGAAGAUGAUGAUAGUGAGCUUGUGGUGCAUACAAACUGAUCCUUCAAACCGGCCAGCGAUGAAGGAAGUGAUAGAUAUGUUGGAAGGGAGUGUUGAUUCGUUGCAGAUACCUCCCAAACCUUACUUGUCUUCUCCUCCAAAAUCCCCAGCAGAUUCUUCUACAGCAUUGGUAUCAAUGAAGUAGAAACCUUGUAUUUUACUUGAACAAAUCUAUGUUUUUCUGAGGCAAUCUAAAUAAUGAAGCAUGCGUUUCAUGUUUGUUUUGUUUUUGUUUUUAUUUUUUACUCUAUAUAUGAAUCAACACAGUAGGAGUGACCCUAUUACUACCCCUCCUGCAAUCAUCUAUAAAUAAAUAUUAGUAAUGUGAAACAUUUGCAUUUGUGGGUCAGACCAGUUGACCAAGGCAGCGUGCCCGUUUCAUCUCCCUGGUUUAAUCAUAGGCCCAAAAAUUUGAAGCUGGGACGGUUGAACUAAUCUUGGACCGAUUUUGGUUGCUUGGAAGGCCACGAGAGCAAGUUGGGCCACGGGAGUGGGCUGCUCAGCAAGUGGCGCACAUGGGUGCGAGGCUAGGGCUCGACUUGGCAACGUGUUGGGCUCGCGUUGGGUUUGGGCGACUCGGGCCGGUUAGGCUUGGGCCCUUGAAGGUUUAAGUGGCACAACUUGGGCUUGGGCUUGGCCUUGGUGACGUGGGUUUUGCCGAGGGUGGCCACCGUGGUGGUUGCCACACCGGUGCCUCGUAGGGGUGGUGCCACUCCACUCAUCAUUGUGUUGAGCCUUGUAGAUCGACGUGGUCCUAAUUCUUGAACGUUGGAAUUUCCAUUCAUCGAGGUUUCCAAAUCCCUUGCCAUUGUACUUUUCUUCGAAUAAUUUUUAGAAAUAAAAAUUCUAAGAAUAAGAGCAUACAAAAAAUCUACAAAUGAACAAGAAAACAAAAAACCUUGGAUGCGAAAGUCUUCUACUAGUGUGUGACUCAACUCUCAAUGAAAACACCAAUUUGUGGAUGCAAAUUUCUUCAUUCUUGUUCUUAGACGAAAAUGCCCCAGCAAAAACAUUUAACACUUUAGGUUAAGGUCAAAAGCCUCAUGUGCCCACAAUGAAUGGGGGGAGCUUUGGCCAAAGAACAUCCGAUGCCAAAUUUAAAAUUUUGGGGGAAAAGUGUUUAGAGAAUUUGGAGAAUUUUGUAAGGGGAUUCAACUUAGGUUUUUUGAAGAAAUAAGGUGGUAUUUAUAGGGUUGUGGCCGGCCCCUUUUGGAGAGGUGGGAACCGGCCACCUUUGGUGGUUUUUGGGUGUAAUUGAUUAGGAAAUUAAUAUCUUGCAAUCAAUUAGGAAAUUAAUUAGAAAAUUAAUUAAUUAAUUUAGGUAAUUAAUCCUAUUUUGAAUGAAUAUUUGGAGGUUACCUUGUAGGGAGGAUUUGAUGAGGAUGAAUGAAAUAAGUUUUGAAUAAAUACCUAUUUGGAUCACUUUUGACCUUGAUUGAGUGGUAAUUGUCCGUUGCUCACGCAUAUGAGUUCUGAUGUGCCACGAGGGUAAUCUUGUAUUUUUACCAAAAAAUCCACGUGUCGCCUCCAUAUUUUUCUUAAUUAUUUUAGGCUCCACAAUGUCCAAUCCAAUCCUUUCUUAAAUUUAAUAUUGAAGCCCUGUUUGGUAUUUAGGAUAAGAUUGCAUUGAUAAUUCUCUAAUUUCAAGGUAUUAUUAGGGGAGAAAUAAAAAAAUUAUGUCCAACUUGGGUUAGAAGACGGAUUACCAUGAAGAAAACUUAUACAAUGUAGUCAUCUCCAAAAUGAGAGAAUUAGGAGGGAUGAGUUUUUUUUUCAUAUCUAGUAGUUUUCUAUUCCGUUCUCUGUAAAAAAAAAAAAACAAAUUCAUUUAUACUUUCAACUUAUACUUUCAGUAUGCCUUGAUGUUGUAAAAUUAUCCAUUACAAUCCAAUUUUACAUACUAAACAAGCCCGUUUUUCCUAGUAUCUAACAACAUUUUCUACCCGCAUUACUGACCAAGGAAUGAAAAGUACGCAAUUUUUGGUCUUUGCCGUGGAUCCCAGAAAGUAUGCAAUUUUUGGUCUUUGCCCACAUUUUCUACACGCAUUAUUGACCAAGGUUACAUCAUUUCUCUCUCUCUCUCUCUUUAAAAUUACUGUACUGUUAUUCGUUCUCAUUUCUCUCUCUCUCAAAUUUACAAUGAAUCAAAACCUUUGCAUCUUCAUUCUGAUCUUCCUUCUCUCAUCAGAAACCCCAGCAUUUGCAGUGGACUUUUACUACCAAAACUGCAGCGUCCCCACAACUGGUGGCCGCCUAAGCAUCAGCUAUCCGUUCUACAUCCAAGGCAGGCAACAAGACUUCUGCGGCUACCCUGGUUUCCAGCUCGCCUGCCAGGGCGGCGCAGACGACGACGAAGAAGCCUACCCACUUCUCCGGUUGUCUGGAGACGAUUACAUAAUUCACAACAUCAGUUACGAAAGACAGACUCUUGUCGUCUCAAAUGCUCUACUUUCGCACUACUUGGACAACUCUUCCUGCACUAAUCUCUCACUGAUCCAUAAUUUAACGCUCCCUAAUGAACUGUUUGAGCUGGCUCCAAAGCAAGAUCAGUUCUUUCUGCUCCACAACUGCAGCCCUUCGUUUGUCGAUUCUUUUCCAACGUACAAGAUUGGUUGUAGUAACACUUCGGUUCUUGCUCUGCCUCGGCAGAUAUAUCCGAAAUUUGAAGGUCUUGGGGAGGUUGAAAAGUGUGGAUCGAGUGAGGUGCCGGUGGCGCAAGGUGGAGGGUAUGGGAAUGAUGAAGCGGCGGGAAUGAAGGAAGUGUUGGGAAGAGGGUUUGAGAUGAAAUGGCUGGCUGGUGACUGCAGCGGCUGCCAGAGUAGUGGAGGGCUAUGUGGGUUUAACUACACCACCCACCUUUUUAGGUGCCUCUGCCCCAACAGGUCCUUUUCUGUGUUCUGUAGGGGCGAAGAAGGUUAGUCUCUCUCUCUUCACUCUUUUUUUUCUCUCUUUUUUACAUGCAAUAUGAAUUGUUAGAUAAUUACUACGCAGCAUACAUAAUUCAGGCUAGUUCAUUAACACAAUAUGUGGCUUUGUUGUAAGACUAAACUUAUCAUAAAUAUAAGUUAAGAGAUUAAGCUCAUGAACCACAAAUUUAUACAAGUAUUAAAAUCACAAUUCGAUAAACAUAAUGACAAACUAACCCGUAAAAACAGUAGAAGAGAAGCCAAAGCAGACUUCUAAACAGUGCACCUUCUCCUCUCUUACAAAACCAAAAGUACUCAAACUAACAAUAGGUCUUAGUUCAAUAUUGAGCGUGUAUUUUGUGAGAGCAGUGUCUACUAUUUAUAAUAGAUUAAUCCUAAUAAUUCUCCUAUUCGAAACAUCAUAGGAUACCAACUAUGAAUCCAAAUCAUAUCUGAAUUACAAUCCUACAAGAAUUAGGAUAGUUUUAAGCUUUCUAGCAAGAAUUUUCUAUGUCAAUUGAAACACUACAACCGGCUAUAAUAUUUAAUUUCAUACUCAUAUUCUAACAUUUGUUACACUCGAAUUCAAAUUCAUCUCUAUAGAUUAGAGUAGUUCAGAAUAUCGUUUAAUUUCGAAACGAAGAUAAUUUCUGGUAUGGGGAUAAUUGUCCCACUUGCCCAACUCUCCUGUGCAAAAAGUUGAAAAAUCUCAUCCAGUCUAACUCCUACCAUACAUUAGAUUUCAAAGGAAAAAGGGCGGCUGCUGGCUGGAGGGUUGAAUAUAGCCACCUCUAAUCAAAUAUUAACGAAGAAGAUGGUCCGUGAAGUCGAAUCUGAACCUCUACAUCAUCACGAUUUAACGUGAAAAAUAUCCUUCACGAUUAUUUGUGAUAAAACCAUUUGAAACUUAGUCACAUAAUCUUAUUGUUAGCGUGUGUAAUUCUGUAUUAAUCUAGUUGUCCUAACCAAAAUUUUAAAUUUGGUUUUUGAUUAUGAUAUGAGAUAAUGAUCAUUGUGCAGGACCUGGAACUGGAAACUUAGCCGCUAAAGUCUCAAUAGGUAAUUAUAACUUGCUUAGAUUAGUUUUCUAAGUUUAUGUGUUGUAAUAAGGUUUAUAGCAUGUCUGCAAUGGCUACCAUUCGAUCGAAUAAAUCAUCAUAUUCAACGUAUAUUCAUCAGGUGCAGUUGCUGGUCUCAUAUUUCUAAUCGCUAUCAUUUGCUGCUUAAGAAGAAAGUUGUCAUCAUAUAGAUUUCUUUUCUUUUGGAAGAAGCAAAACCAAAAUCGUCAAAUUGUAGAGGCCUUUCUAAGGAGCCACGGGCCGCUUCAAAUACGAAGGUAUAGCUAUUUGGAGGUCAAGAACAUGACCAACUCCUUCAAAGAAAAAUUAGGACAUGGAGGCUAUGGUGCUGUUUACAAAGGAAAGUUAAAGGACGGCUGUCUUGUAGCAGUGAAGGUCCUGAUCAAACUAACAGGAGAUGGAGAAGAGUUUAUGAAUGAAGUGGCAGCUAUUAGUAGAACUUCCCAUGUCAACGUCGUCACCUUGUUAGGCUUUUGUUUUGAGGGUUCCAAAAAGCUCUCAUCUAUGAAUUCAUGCCUAAUGGAUCCCUAGAGAAAUUCAUAUUUGAUUCAAAUACUCCCAAUAUAGGUCAUGAUCACUUGGGAUGGGAAGCAU